rnacentral:ncRNA from 1 species
CUGUCACAACGGCUUCCUGGCGUGAUGGGUGAAUCCAAUGGAGCA